rnacentral:rRNA from 1 species
UACGUAGGGCGCAAGGCGUUAUCCGGAAUUAUUGGGCGUAAAGAGCUCGUAGGCGGUUGUCGCGUCUGCCGUGAAAGUCCGGGGCUCAACUCCGGAUCUGCGGUGGGUACGGGCAGACUAGAGUGAUGUAGGGGAGACUGGAAUUCCUGGUGUAGCGGUGAAAUGCGUAGAUAUCAGGAGGAACAUCGAGUGGCGAAGGCAGCCCCUUGGACCUGUACUGACGCUCAGUGCACGAAAGCGUGGGGAGCAAACAGG